UCAAUAAUCCUAAAAUAUCCUUUGAAAUACCAAAAACAAAUUAAAUAUCAAAAACAAAUUAAUUCUUUUUCUUUCUUUCACUUUCACCGGUUUAUUCUCCUUCUUCCUCAACCUUUCCCCAUAAAAACCCUAGAAAAGAGUUUUUGAGUUUCCCCCUCAUCGAAGCAGAAGCUUUGCUUUCUACUUGUAGCUUCAGAUUUCACAAAGAGACAGGAAAAAAAAAAAAAAAAAGGCCAAGUGGUGGCGCUCUGGUGCCAACGGAAUACAUCUAGAAAGUCCUAGUUUACAGUCAUGGCUUUGGCCACCAUGGCUAUUGGCCUGAGCCGCUUUGUACCACAAGAUCCAAGCCAUCCCGAGAGAGUGUUGUGGAAGCAGAGUAUCGAUAAAAGACAAAGCCCAGGGGAGAAUCCCUGCCGUAGUGUUCAGUCAAAGCCUCUUGGAAAAACAACCUAGCAACCAAUCAAAGGGAGUGAAAUGGUGAUACCUACAAGAAAAUGCUGCUCUGUUUCAUGCCCAUUAGGAGCCCUUUGUUUCCUUUCGCAUCGGCCGGAUUGUAAGCUUGGAGACUGUGUGUUCUGAAGGAAAUGGUGAAGAGGUGACUCAGAAAGAAAACUGCAGGGUUUUAGAGAGCCCUAGGAGUAGAAGCAGAAGCAACAGGUAGGCAAUAGCGAAGUAGGAAAGCAUGAGGCUCAUUCAAUCAAUCACUGGGCAGCGUAAUUCACUGCUGCGAGAGGUGGGACGGCGAUAUUUCAGUGCGGUUUCAACAGAGGAAUACGCAAGGAGGAACUAUGCAAGCAAUGUCUCUGAGUAUAACACUGUUAUCGGUUCUCUCACCGCACAGAGAAGGCAUUUCUUGCUGAGAGAUGUGUAUGAUGAUAUGAUGCUGGAUGGAGUACAGCCAACUAGGGAUACAUUCCAUUCUUUCAUCGUUGGAACCAUGAAAAGCUCUUGCUUGCAGGACACUUUCUACUUUUCUGACCAAAUGAAAUCCAUGGGUUUGGUCCCUGAUGUAUGUAUUUGUAUAUAUAUGCUUCUUCUUCUUUUUUCGUUUUUGUUUUUUUUCACAUGGAUCUGCAUUAAUUCUUAUCUGCUGACUAUUAGAUUCUUUCAAGAUUGGAAAUUUUGUAUAAAGUUACUUUGUGUUUUUUUUUCUUUUUUUUUUCCCUAGCUAUUACAAUGUAUUGCUUUGUGUUAUAGGUUACUUUAUACAACAUUUUAGUUUCUUGAUGUAGUGCAGAUGAACUCUGUCACUGUUGACUUGAGGCCAAAGUGCUUGGUUGGUAUUAUUUUUUAUGGUUACCCUUCUUAUUCUAGAAUGUAUGCAGAAGAAACAAGUUACUACUUUUUUCUCUAGGUGAUUGAUGAAAUAGAUGGAGUUCUUGGUGAUGGCAAAGGUGCUGUGGAGGUUAUUCUAAAGAUGGUUUCUGCAGAUAAGAAGUCUGAUACAAGGAAGGAGAAUUUUCCAAAUGAAGAAAAUCAUGAAAGUACAUAGAAAGUUUAUCAUUCAUAUGGAGUUUCCUUUUCAUGAUUCCCUAGAAAAUGGGUUCAUAUAUUUGUUCAACCAACAGUUAAUCGUGUUGUCAGCAGGUAUCAAAUCGGUCUCCAUUUUAGUGGAGGUGUCUCGUAUGCUUUUAAUGCUGCCACUAAAGUUUGGCAUUAUACCAAUUGUGGUGCCAGUUGGUGUUCGAGAUUUUGACAUUGAUGGGGAACAUUGGGUCAAUUCGGGAUUGAUACCAACAGAGGCUUUUGUAGGAGUUGUAAUAUUCUCUAGGAGCUGUAAUAUUCUCUAGUUUUUAUUCAUAAAACACUUGUACAAUUUCCUCUUGCUAAUUCAGAUUUUGUUUUUAGUUUUUGUACAUGAUUCUCGUGUCAAUAUGAUGUGUAAGGAUCCAAUUUCAUUAUUAAAUUCUCCAUAUUAUUUGA